rnacentral:rRNA from 1 species
GAUGAACGCUGGCGGCGUGCCUAAUACAUGCAAGUCGAGCGAAUGGAUUAAGAGCUUGCUCUUAUGAAGUUAGCGGCGGACGGGUGAGUAACACGUGGGUAACCUGCCCAUAAGACUGGGAUAACUCCGGGAAACCGGGGCUAAUACCGGAUAACAUUUUGAACCGCAUGGUUCGAAAUUGAAAGGCGGCUUCGGCUGUCACUUAUGGAUGGACCCGCGUCGCAUUAGCUAGUUGGUGAGGUAACGGCUCACCAAGGCAACGAUGCGUAGCCGACCUGAGGGGGGGGUCGGACACACUGGGAUGGAGACACGGCCCAGACUCCUACGGGAGGCAGCAGUAGGGAAUCUUCCGCAACGGACGAAAGUCUGACGGAGCAACGCCGCGUGAGUGAUGAAGGCUUUCGGGUCGUAAAACUCUGUUGUUAGGGAAGAACAAGUGCUAGUUGAAUAAGCUGGCACCUUGACGGUACCUAACCAGAAAGCCACGGCUAACUACGUGCCAGCCGCCGCGGUAA